GACGUAGGGCGCGAGCGUUGUCCGGAAUCAUUGGGCGUAAAGAGCUCGUAGGCGGCCUGUUGCGUCCGCUGUGAAAGCCCGGGGCUUAACCCCGGGUCUGCAGUGGAUACGGGCAGGCUAGAGGUAGGUAGGGGAGAAUGGAAUUCCCGGUGUAGCGGUGAAAUGCGCAGAUAUCGGGAGGAACACCGGUGGCGAAGGCGGUUCUCUGGGCCUUACCUGACGCUGAGGAGCGAAAGCGUGGGGAGCGAACAGG
rnacentral:rRNA from 1 species